rnacentral:lncRNA from 1 species
AUGUCUCAUCCGUCCAGCAGCGUGGAAGAGGCAGCGAAACGGAGAGCUCAAGAUGGCAAGAUGAGACGACAGGAAGGGGAUGAUCCCCAGCCGGAGGAGAAGAGGCUGAAGCUGGGGAAUGAAGGAGGAAGCUCUGGAAAGGAAGAAGCAAGAGGAGGAGGAGGAGGAGGAGGAGGAGGAGGAAGAGAAGGAGAAGAAGAAGGAGAGAGCAAGAGAAUGCCAUGCUUGAGUUGUGAAGAGUCUGGGACCCAGACGGAGGAAGAAGGCCCAACUCCUUAUAAAUCUGAAUCUAUGGAGUUGGCUCUCACUUCCAGGAACACUCCUCAAGGUCCAGUAAGUGGAAACCUUUUUUUUUUCCUUUCUGUUGAAAUGGAUUAGACUCUGAAACUGCUUUUUUUUUUGCAUUCUUUAUGGUUUGUAACUCUUUGAUCAUCAAUCAAAUUCAAUCUUUAAAUUUUUUUCCCCUUCUGAACACCCUGGGAGGGAUCUGGUGUCUUUUGGAAAAGAAUCUGUUAGCUUGUUAAAUGUCCUCGAAAGCUGCAAAUGUUCAGCAUUAGAGAACUUACUGUUUGCUUGUCAAGCAGAAGAAAACUCUUGCAAAGGGGUGUUGCUUGGGUUCAUUAGGAAACCCAAGAAAUCCAUCUUGGUUUGUGUAUAGAAUUAUGCAUUGUUGUACUGAGGGCUGGACAAAUGUAGUGUGUUUGACUUCUGUAAAUAAGGGGAAAUGAUUUUGCAGGAUUUGGGGAGGUGCUUUCCACGAUCAAAGAGCUGGCAUAUUAUUUCCCAUGCAACCAUGGCCAAACCAUAUAAAACAAAUGGAGUCACCACGGAUGAUGCCACCUUUCCAUGACCUUCAGGCUAGGAAAGGUAUGUGGAGUGUUCAUCUCCACUUCUUCAUAGAAAAAAUGCAUGCAAAAGGCGCCAGGAAGGAAUGAGGUUGCCCACAGACUCCUGGAAAUGUAGGAAAAUCUGAGAAAAUGUAUUUGCAAGUCCUGAAUAGGAUCAUAGAGUUACAGGUAGCUCUGUUGACAUGGCCAGUGUUUCCCAACCUUUGACCCUCUGAAGCUUUGUCCAGAAGAUCCAACAAGCAUGGUUAAUAACAAGAAUUCAGGAAACCAGAGUCCAAAGCAUCUAAAGAUCCAAAGGCUGACAGCCAUUGAACUGAGCUAACAGUAUGACUGCAUCAGGUGGCUAAGUGUGUAUACAUACAUUUGUUAGUGUAUCUGUGAAAUGUGUUUUCAGUUUUAAUUCACUGCUCUCACUUCCCAACAAACACUGUAUUCUAGAUACCUGAACUGUGGGAAUUAAUGUCUCCUGUAUAAUAACAUAAAUGGAAUGCUGGCAUUUAAGGUAGAGCUUUGAUGUGCACUUCUUAGCA